rnacentral:rRNA from 1 species
UAAGUAGAUAGUGAAAGCGUUCGGCUCAACCGAAUAUCCAUUAUCUAAACUGCUAAGCUAGAGAAUGAGAGAGGUAGAUGGAAUUUCCAGUGUAGGGGUGACAUCCGUAGAUAUUGGAAGGAACACCGAUGGCGUAGGCAGUCUACUGGCUCAUUUCUGACACUAAGGCACGAAAGCGUGGGAGCGAACGGGAUUAGAUACCCCGGUAGUCCACGCCGUAAACGAUGGAUGCUA